rnacentral:rRNA from 1 species
ACCUAUGGCGAUACCCUGAACAUGCCUAAUAUCCUCUGAUCUCAGAAGCCAAGCAGGUCCUUGGUAGUACUUGGAUGGGAGAAAUUCUGCCCAAUGAAUUCAACACAACAAGAAAUAAGUAGCUUGAGUUA